CAGCAACUGACUAACUACAACCAGACAAAUUACUCAGGAGCUCCUUCACUAUGCUACAGACUCCUUCAUCACGUUAGGAGCUGACUUGCCGACGCCUCCUGAUCCUAAAACAACCAGUUUGUAUUCACGCAUCCUGACUGUCUGUCUGCUGGGUGAGAGAAACAAACACAGAGGAGGAGACCGUUAACAGGUCGCUAUUGGACAUCCAGUCACAGCUACCAAUCACACAGCAGGAUUACAGUAAGCCCCACCUCCUCCUAUGAUGCACCUGGAGAUGUAACACCAUCAAUUACAAACACACAAAUGAAGACUUCCUGCCCCUCACUGGGAGAUAAUGAUUACCCAGCAUGCAUGGUGAAGGCAUCAGCAGUAAUGGAUUUCAUCGCCUGAGGGUCUGAACAGGCUUGCCUCACUACAACGCUCUGCAGCAAGUCCAGACGGGUUCAACGCUUCGCGAGAAGUCACUCACUGGAGCAGCAGAGGUGAGGCCAUCAAGGGGAAAGUUGGAUGAGCCAAAAUAUCUAAAACCCUUCGAUCACACCUGAAGCCCUAUCUCUGGACAUUUACAAGUCCCCCUGUCACAAACCUGCCUCUGCGGGAGAGCACCUGCAUCGGGACUUCCCCCCUCAUGCUUCACGAUGCUGUGCUAUGACGAAAUAUAAUGAGACGUUACAGAAAUAUGCACAGACACACAGCAACAGCAGGAAGAAAAAGAUCAUCACGUCUUCCAAUAAAUCAGAACUAAGGCUCAGAAAGUCCUUUAAUUUAAAAAGCUCUCAUAAUCCAUCCAUCCAUAUACUUCCACUUAUCCACUUCUGGGUCAGAGCAAAGUGAGCAAAUUAAAAUAGACACACUCUUCUCUUAAACUUCUUAAAGAAAAUCAGCUGAUUUGCUCUUACCAACCACUGCUGCUCAUGAAAUAUUUGCCAUUACAGCUCAGGCUGCCUAAACCUGGUUUGGCACACCCACAGGCAUCAAACCCAGAGGAAGUGCCAAACAGGAACCUCGGGACCUGGAAAAUUAACCUGAAGUACCAAAAAAGCUGCAGUUUCCCUAAUAUCAAACAGACACUGUUUUCACUAUAGAAAGAUGGAGAGGCAGGUGGCUUCAGCUAAUUGGAGUCUGUGAACUGGACUCCAAUAAUAUCUCCAAAACGACCACAAAACACAAACGAUGGUGCCUUCACCAUCUUUUAUACAGUCUGUGGAGAAAGCAACACACAGUCAUGUCCCAACAAUACACAGAAGUAGAAAGCUUCCAUUAUCUCCUUAUAGUCCAAAUUUGUAACAAUUCAAAAAAGAAAUACUGCCCUUUCUGCACACUAUGAGUGUAUUUACUUAUAAAUAAACCCUCACUGUGGGUCUGUUUAAGUUUAACUGCAGUUCAGACUUAAUGCAUGAACAACAACAAUCAAACUACACAGCAAAUUAUUAUAUAACUGUAAAAUGAGGCGUCACUGAGGGCUUUUAUGUUGUAUUGUGAUUGUACCACAUACACGUUGACUGAAAGGAAGACUUUAACCUGAAACUUCAUACUUCACAUCAGUGUUUCCUGUUUGCUUUGUUUACAUGUGAACAAAAAGAGGAUCUGCUGUUAUCAACAUAGACUGCUGGCCUUAAUUUAUAGGCUAUAAAUACAUUAAUCUUUAGUUACCAGAGCGUCACUGCACAGAUACACACAGUUCAACCCAACCUGAAACCUGCAUUUUAUUCUUAUAUUUCAGUAUUUUGCUCACUCAGUGGGCACUUCUGCUUUUUCCAGCAAUCACUGAAUAAUGUUAAUCUACUAAAGUGAAGUUGUCAGAGCAGAAAGAUGGACUCACAAUACGCACAGAUCCCUGAGUCAAGCAGAACUAGGUGGGGCCUGUCAAUACUCAGUGUGUGUGUGUGUUGCUGACAGGCAGUACAACAGGAGAGGAAUAAAACCAAGCAGUGUUUUGCAACCAAACUGGCUUUGAUUGCAGGUUCCCUCAAGCUCCCAAACUCUGCAUCCUCUCAUCAAUCACUUCCACUCUUUUUUUUUUUUUUGCCUCCGGGAGAGCAACGGGGCUUCCGCAGCUCUGUGGCCGCCUCACAAUGCUCCUUACCCGGGAAGCUCCGCAAGCAGACCCCGCUGCCUCAGAAGAGCGGAGACAAAACGCGAGCAGAAGCGGACUUCGGGCUCUACAGACCGGAAACAGACUCACAGACGGACAGACAGCCGCCGUGACGUCGUGAAGCAGUCAGCCCGUGUCUGAUAUAAACUGUAUUCUCAUCAGGACAGCCGCCGUCCGUCUGUCUGCCUUUACGUCCAUCCGUCUGUCUGUCCGCCGGUCGCUUGCUUCCGCAAACCCAGCCCAGCACGGCUCCCGACCGGCCUGUCUCCCGUCCCUGCUAGCCGGGACAUUUCCCGGUUCGACCCAGGCUAGCUCACAUCUACAUGAAAGA